rnacentral:tRNA from 1 species
GUUUUAAUAGUUUAACAUAAAACUUUGGUCUUGUAAAUCAAAAAUGAAAAAUUUUUUCUUAAAACU